rnacentral:sRNA from 1 species
AGUCAGUCAGAACUUAAUAACAAUAGAUAGUGUCACUGAAGUUGAUAUACAACCUCCACUGCCAAGUUUGACUGGCUUAAA